rnacentral:lncRNA from 1 species
CCAGAUCGUGGUUUCCUCUCUCCAAACAAAUUGUGUUUCCUCUCUGCAAUAUCAGACCCAAAUCACGAUUCACCCAUCUUGGGUAGAUAGGUUGAAUAAAUCGGCACUCGGCAUCCCCUAUUUCAGAUUCAAGCUCGAAAAUCUAUUUCGGUGACAAGAAGACUAAGAAUCGGUAUAUAUUUCAGUAAAACAUUCACUAUCAUCCUUCACUAUGUGCUUUCUGCGAGAUUCUUUCCCUACCCAAUGUUGUCGAGGUCUGAAAUUUUUUUCCAUUCUGUAUUUUGGGCUUAUUUUGUGGUUUAUGUUUUGCUGAGCCAAUAACUUAUUUGUUAGCUCUAAGAAAUGGAAAUUUUGAUUAGGAGUAUUAGGCUUUAUACUGGGUAUUCGGGCACUUAUUUUGGCUUUGCUUAGUUAUAAAUUUAUCAAAUUAGCUAAUUUGUUAGCUCUAACAAUUAGAAAUUUUAUACAAGUAUGGACAAACUAAGAAAAACAGAGUUGUUGAGUGACUGUCCUAGCUCUAACCUAACUGACAUUCCGCAUAAAAUUUUGAAAAUAAAUAAAGGUACAAUAUUUGUGAAAUUUGGGAAAGACCCUUAAGCUUUAUAGCUGGAUUUGCUUUAUCCCUCAUGAACUCUCUUGUUCCAUCUUCAUUACAGCAACUAGCAAGCAAGUUUCUGUAGGUAGUUGAGCACAGUAGCCACCAUUAAUUAAUUUAAUUUUUUAGAAUUUUGUUAUCUUUAUGUAGUGUACAUGUGGUAGAAGGGAGAUAGGUACUAUUGAUUGUUUGGAAUGAAAGGAGUGCAAC